UUCAGAUAGGAAAUACAAUUUUAAACAAUAUUCCAAUUUACUUCUAUUAUCUAAUUUGCUUCAAUAUUUAGAUAUCUUUUGUUAAAGAAAUAGCAAUGCACAUGGGUGAGCCAAUCACGUUAGGCAUCUAUGUGCAGCCACCAAUCAGAAGCUACUGAGCCUAUCUAGAUAUGCUUUUCAGGAAAGAAUAUCAAGAGAAUGAAGCAAAUUAGAUAAUAGAAGUAAAUUAGAAAGUUGUUUAAAAUGGUAUUCUCCAUCUGAAUCAUGAAAGAAAAUUUUUGGGUUUAAUGUCCCUUUAAGUGCACUAUUUUGACCAGUCACAUGGAUUAUGCUCUCCCUAUAUGCUGCACCUGGAUCCUGUCAAAUGCUGCUUGGUUCCUGUGUUUCCCCCUGAUCCCAUUAUAGAGUUGGCCCUGGGCAAAGAACGCCACUGCUGAUAGGCUGGAGCCUAUAAUUGAAGGUGCCUGAGUGUUUAAGUGGCACAACUUUAUUACAAGUCACUACUUAUCUAUUAACUGCAUUUGGGUUUUUGCAGCCUUGUUUUGUAAAGUCAACCCCCUGGGAAAACGUAGGGGAUAAAUGCUUAGGGUACCCUUUGGUAAUGCAGGUGGGAGUCUAUCCCUGCUGGUUUGUCAGAUCUUUUCCAUUCUCCAAAUGUCCUGACGCUUCUCUCCAUCUCCAGUGGCAGUUCUAUUGGGAAAUAAAAGGCUUUUAGUCUGGACUGCAUUGUGUGAAGGAGCACACUGUCUUUUUUUAUUUAUUUUUUUAGUCUCAUGAGUGGCAGCAAAAUGUAAAAUGCCUCUUAUGUCUCCAUGCAUUACACAUGGCCCAGUUUGUAUGUUAUAUUCUAUGUGUUACUGGCAGCCAAGGAAGGGAAAACAUGCAGUUUUAUGUGUUAGAGACGGUGCCUGCUGUAUGUGUGUUCCUGGUAGUCAAGGGAGUCAAAUCAUUAAUGUGUACUUCUGUUAUUGGCCGCCAAAGUGAAGGCAAGUUCAGUUGUGAAAAAUAUACAUGGUGGGAUCAAGGCUCGGGUUUAAGGUAGAGCUUUUUGGGGCAUUGUGUGGCCCCCAACUACUACCUGUAUCCAGUCACCUACAGGUUGCCCAGUAUUUUAGUAAAGAACAGCUGACAACUCUAAUCACAGUAGUGUAUUAUCCAAAAUGUCAAUAGCAUAAUUACAAAGGGGCCAAAACACAGGAUGCUAUUCAUACCCACUGAGUUGUCACCGCAGCACUCUGAGCCCUCUGUGACUCUGGCACACACACUGCUGUCUCUGCAACUCAUGGGUGCACUUCCUUUGUGAGUGUACAACUAUCAGGUUAUGACUUAUUUAUAAGGGUGUCCCUGACAAACAUGUUUGUAUGAUUUUGUUUUCUAGUCACACUUACACUAAACAUAAUGCAUCAAAAUAAAAUUCUAUUAAAAUCAUUAAUAUGUUUAUUGUAUAUAAUAUUAAAUUGACAACAUAUGGUACAACUACACAUGAGAAGUGUGGAACUUCUUUUUUGAUGACUAAUUACUGUGAAAGCGCCACAACAACUUUAAAGGUCUGGAUGAGGUCUUUGGGCUGUUCUGGUUUAUGUUUAUGAUAUUUUGGAGCGUUAUUGGAUAAUGAACUGUGUGACACGCUAUUUCUUUUCUUUCUUUUCAUAAAGGAAGUGCAGCUAAAUAUAAAUGUUACAGAAAGUGGCUGAUUAAAUAAACCAUGGAAUUUAAUCACAAUAGAUUGUAAAUACAGAUACCUGAAAAAUAUUUACUCUGCUUGGUAGGUGAACACUUAUUUGAAGGUCAUGUAGGGUUUUUCAUGUGAGGAAAACUGUAUGACACAUACUUACAAUAUGCGUUCUAAGGUACUUUUAUUUUAGGUGCAUUAAAAUGUUGCAAUGUAAAUGACACAAGAUUUCAUAUUUCAUUGUCACAACAACAUUCAAAAUAUCACCACUUUUUGAUUAGGAAUUAGGUUAGGGCUAGUCCAUUUAUUUUUUAUAUUUAAUUUUGUGAAAAUUAAUCAACUUUUGUGUAAUUAUUUUAAUUAAUUCCUCUUUAGCCAUUUUUGGGCAUGGUUCCUAUGAGACCCACUUAUGACUGCUGCAGAGCUGCUGCACAGCAACAGUCCUCUUGCUAUCAAUAAAGGGGGUCAGGCGACCUAUUUGUGCGGCUCAAAAAUUGAUCAUCUAAAGAAUUAAGUGGCUAUAAUAUAAUAAAGUAUCCUAUAACUGCUGCUAAUAUGUGUGGCAGUCUGCUUGGCUGCUGCUGAACCACAAAACCCAGUAUGGAGCAUCACAAAUAAGUAUUCCGCUGCAAUCAGUUAAACUCCAACUGUAAUAUACAGUAACCACCACUUACCUGGCCUCUACUUGGAGAUAUUAUCUCUAAUUUUAACCAAUUAUCUGUAAGUUUAUCCAAUUAAUGCAAAGGGCCUCUCUUCCUUCAACUACAAUUAACCCUAAGCACAAUAUCUCCCUGACACAAAUAAUGGCUGAUCUGGCAUCUUAACCUUGAUCUUGUUGCACUGCAAACUAAUAGUUGUCAUAGCCUCUAACACAUUUCUCCAGUCAGUGAAAAGCCCAUUUUUUUAUUAGUAAAUGGGAUUAACCAAUUAAAAUAAUUGAUGGGCUCAAGUUUAACAAUUAACAUAAACACCACUUAGAAUAUAUAUGUUGAAGGGAAUACUGUAGGAAGCCCAGACUGUGGAGAAAGACUGGAGAAGAAGCACCUGAUAUUAAUGGACAUGAAGAGGCUGAAGGAAGACAUUUUUCAGUUACCCUUUAGGUAAAGCCACUUGAAGGGAUAAUAAUGUCUUGUCUUCAUUUAAAGUUGAAAUGGAUUUACAGUGUCAUUUUUAUAUUAUAUAUUAGCAAUAUAGGCCAUGGCAUCUGGCACCUUCACUCGUACUGAGGCUUCCCUGGCUUGUUGAAGGCUGAAAGUUUGUGGUCAGCUACAAAGAUUUGCCUCGAUCAGUAGUGCUUGCAAGGGUGACCGUCAAGCUGAAUAUUGAUUGUACAAGGUGUUGCUGGUUGUUUUCUACUACUUAUUCCUAACUUUUUUAAAAUUUCCCUCUUCUCCUUCUUUUACCCCACUCCAUAUCCUGGGCAGUGCACUGGUUGUUUAGGGCAGAUGAAAGCUUUAAGUUUAAGGGUGCAAAUGCAUGGCCAUGGCUAGUACAGUCUAGAAUUGCUACACCCCAAAACAAUAAGAACCACUGGCUUACUUACAUUAUACUGCACAAGUAGGGGUGGUUCUAAACUAUACCAUUUGUUGGUACAAAAUGUUGAUUGCAAGAUAAAUAUCAGGUGUUCAAGUGGUACAGGUUAGGGACGUCAUCUUCUUCUGCUGUGUAUUCCUGUGUAUUUAUUUAUAUGUUUAAAUUAAAUCUGCUUUCUCUCUCUGUCAUCUCCCACCCCACCCUGCUCUGCACAAAGAGCUGGAUAUGUAAAAAGGCACUAACAAUUUAGGGCAGUUGAGAUUUGGAGGUGCUUGAAUAAUGAAUGGGGAUGCAUGGUACCCUCUAGCAACCCUCUUGAACUGUCACUGCUCAUGGUGUUAUACCAGGGAAGAACUAUGGAAAUAGGGAACUAUGGGAGUCCUUUCACAUAAUAAAUCAGGCUGAUGAUUUUAUAUCAGAAGUUCAACAUUGCAGAGGUUCAUUCUCACUUGACAAAAGGCAGAAAUGCUAAGAAAUGAAAUAUUUAAGGUGGCUGUUGUCUGACUUAAAGAAGAUGUAGAAACAGAGGAUGCACCAUCAGGAAGUCAGAUGAAUGUUUCCAUUCAGGCAGACUGUGAGAAGGAAUCAUCAGAGCUCUAGAAGACCACCAACCUAUGAGCAUGAAGGUUAUUCAAACAAAACAUUUAGUGUCUCGAUUUCACCCAGAAACUGAGAACCUGAUCCUGAACAGAAACAACAUACUCAAAAUUAAUAACAAACAUCUUUGAAAAGGUCAUACUUAUAAGCAAGAAGGACUCUAUCUUACCCUACUCAGAGUGUGACCUUUCAUUAGAUUUCACGUAAGGAUAUGACACUUCCAGCAAAGCCCAAAAACUAUAUCUAACAGUAAAAGAAAAACUAUAGCUGCUAGUCAUCUGAAGCAAAGAGGAUGCAGGCACUACUCGGUGUAGGUAUAAAAGCAAAAAAAGGCUUUAUUGUGCUAUUCCAUAAAAAUACAAAAAGAAGCAAAUAAUACAAAAAACGAAUACCUUCAAGUGCAAGGCAGACACACAGGCUAACAAGAGGGACAGGCGGCCUGAUGCGUUUCGCGCCCCCUAGAGGAGCUUAAUCUUAGGUUGCUAGUCAUCAACUAUAUACAUCUGAAUAUUAUCAUUAUUAGAGGGUAAUAGGUUUCAAACUACUUCCUUGGGUAUAAUAAUAAAGAGAAACAUCUAACAGCUUUGCUUGCAUGCAUAUAAAAUAACAACCUGUUGUAUAACUCAGGAGACAAACUAAAAGAAUGAUAUAUCUGACUUUGCCUAAAAUUUGUCAAAGGAACUAAGCUUGAGUGCAAUAACCAAUUCUUCUGAAAAUAUAUCUGCAGUAGGGGCUUCUAAUACCCAGAAACAUGCCUGGCAAACAACCAGUCAAAUGAAGCUCAGAAGACAAGGACCUCUUAUAGGGUGUGUGGGGAAGAAACUAUUUUGUUGUCAAUUAUUGUUGAAUGAUGACUUUGUACAACACAUAACCGUUAAUGAUGCAUCUGUCCUUAUGCAUAACUUCAUGUGUUCAUGAAUGAUCAAUAAAUAUAGAUUUAUUAUUCAAAUUUAGUUUAUUAAACUAGAUAGAUGAUAGAUAGAUUAAUGUAAAGGUAUUAUAACAUCAAUUAAUCAUAUAAACUAUAUGUACAUAAUAAUUUUUAUUUCAAUAAAGAGAAUAACUAUAUUGAGUCAUGAUAUAAGUUAAACAGGAGAAUAUACAUUUUGUCACUACUGUAUCAAUCUAAAUGACAUAUUUAAGUUUGACAUGCCUAAAAUGAAGAAACAUUUAAAUAAUAAUAAUAAUAAUAAUAAUAACAACAGAAUAUAAAGAAUAUUGAAUGUAAGCAUGUCUUAAAUUAUGGAAAACAAUUAGAACAAAAUAAAAAAAUAGAUAAACAAA